rnacentral:rRNA from 1 species
GCUUAACACAUGCAAGUCGAGCGCCCUGCUUGCAGGGAGCGGCAGACGGGUGAGUAACGCGUGGGAACGUGCCUAUUGGUUCGGAAUAGCCCCGGGAAACUGGGUUUAAUACCGAAUGUGCCCUUCGGGGGAAAGAUUUAUCGCCAAUAGAUCGGCCCGCGUUAGAUUAGCUAGUUGGUGGGGUAAAAGCUUACCAAGGCUACGAUCUAUAGCUGGUCUGAGAGGAUGAUCAGCCACACUGGGACUGAGACACGGCCCAGACUCCUACGGGAGGCAGCAGUGGGGAAUCUUGGACAAUGGGCGAAAGCCUGAUCCAGCCAUGCCGCGUGAAUGAUGAAGGCCCUAGGGUUGUAAAAUUCUUUC